rnacentral:misc_RNA from 1 species
CGGCAAAAUGGGAAUUUUAUUGAAAAGAAUAUUUACAUAAAUGGGAAAACAAUGCAACCAAGGAGUGCAUCUCAUUCAAGAUGAAUUCCUUUGUUUUUGCCUUUUUUUUUUAUUAUUAUUAUUAUUUUUAUUUUUUUUAAUUUCAAGCCCUUUAAUUGCUCGAUAAUGGACAAGGGUUUCACCUACUAAAAUGUGUUGGCAAAACCAUCAUAAUUUUUACCUAAAUGCAAAUAAUUAUAGGUCCAAAACUAAAGAAAAAAAAAGGGGGGGCUAAUUAGGGCAUGUCAUAAUGGAAGAAGACAGCCACCCACAUUUCAUUAUAGUUGCGGAUUCUUAAUAGGUUGAUAGUUGAGAGGACAAUCUCAUGAUCAUUUGCCCUAUAAUAAUUUAUUCAAAAAUUUAAUCCAACCACACUUUUGAGAAAAUUUAAUCCAACCACCCUUUUCAAAAAUUUAAUAUUUAUAUAUAAUUAAUUAAAUUAUAUAUAAUGAGUGUAUGAAUUUAAAUAUAAAUAUUUAAUUUAAUAAUUAUUAAAUUUAUUUUUCAUGUCAG